UGCAUUCUAGACAUAAUAUCAUGGUUUCACCAAAUCUGCAUCAUUGUGUUGGCCAUGGGUUGCUAAGUAACAGCAACAGUUACGUUACUCUAAGCUGCUUUGAAGCAUCGUAAUUAGAUUACAAUAUAUUAGAAAAGAUUAUUGCGCCUUUUGGCCUGCUUUGGUCAGAUUUGAAAGAAAUAAGUGAGAUUAUAAUUAUUAUUAUGAUUAUACAUCAUUGGGGGUGCACGGUGGCUUAGUGGUUAGCAAGUUCGCGUCACACCUCCAGGGUCCGGGGUUCAAGUCCCGUCGGGGCCAUGUGUGUGCGGAGUUUGCAUGCUCUCCCUGUGCUGCGGGGGUUUCCUCCGGGUACUCCGGUUUCCUCCCCCAGUCCAAAGACAUGCAUGGUAGGCUGAUUGGCAUGUCUAAAGUGUCUGUAGUGUAUGAAUGGGUGUGUGAGUGUGUAUGUGAUUGUGCCCUGCGAUGGACUGGCACCCUGUCCAGGGUGUACCCCGCCUUGUGCCCCAUGUUCCCUGGGAUAGGCUCCAGGUUCCCUGUGACCCUGAAAAGGAGUAAGCGGUAGAGGAUGGAUGGAUGGAUGGAUCAUUCUGGAAAGUCUGCUCUUCCUCCUCCUGAAAGGCCGAAGAAAACUCUGCCUCACCUUUCAUCAUCACUCCUGCAAAGGGAACACGAGAUGUGGAGGAAUCUCUUCUUUCUGGUAAAAGAGUCGUUUGAAACACUCCCCCCCCUCCACAAUAUUGUCACCUACCAAUUCACUCCCACAAACUAUCAUACGACAGCUACCAACCAGGAAGGCUGAAAUCUAACUCGUGCUUCCUCCGAGACACGGGAAUCCAGCCAACUGCAUCUUUAUGAGCUGCUGCUCAUGCUGCCUCACAGGGCAGCGUAACACACUCAGACUGUCCACCCUUUUCCGCAUACAUGUGCUCACAGACACCUACGAUUGGUUAGUGUCCCUCUGAUUGACUGGGGAGAGAGAAUAAGCCCCUCCCUGUCCAAUUUUUCUUUUUCUCUCUGUUGAUAUGGUGAUAAGUUUUCUUUAAGGAGGCAUUUAUUUAGCAUUUUUGAAAGGAGUCUCCAGUAUCAGUGCAGAAUGUUGUGGUUUUCUCUGAUACUUCAAGAGAGAGGAAAAGAACAGAGGCUGGUGAGGAAAUGACUGCUUGCAGCUGCUGUAACGGAAGUGAUAACAGGAACUAACUUAUUUCAUGGACGUUGUACAACAAUUAAACGUAGGAUAAAAUGCA